CAAACGUCAGAAAAAAACUGGAGGGAAGGAGGAUUCAUGUAGUGUAAAACAUGUACCCGCCAAAUAAUGAAACUGAAUGGACAGUUUUGAGGAGGAAUACAAACUGAAAUGGUCGUGGUGCCAUCUGUCACACAAAAACGGAAAGAAAGUUAACAUAAUUGAAAUCAAACAAAACGACCGGGAGCGUUUGCGGAGACCGCGUGCCGACGCGCCGAAGGCCUUAAACACACUCGCCAACAAAAUGACCAUCGCGGCGACGAGUGCAGCUGGACAAAUAUGAAGGACACGUUAUAUCCACGACGACUGAAAGCAGGAAUGACUUCAACUUCAUAAACGGAGCUGUUUUUCUCCGGAGAGUGACCCCGCACUCAAACGCAUAUGCGUGCUCCUGCAGGGCUGACAGGAGUCUGUCUCAUGUUCAAACCACCUGGAUGUGACGCCCGCUGUCCUCUCAGGCCACCUACUAAGUGCAGCCUCAGACCCGCAGACACGGAAUACCGCGCAGACCUACCGUCAAUGAGUUUGGGGCUCCCGGCGUCCCGAAUUCUUUCCGGGCCGAGCAUGUCCGUUUCCCUGCCCGGCGACAGCGCGACGUUCCGCGGGACGGCGGCCGCCUCCUCCCGGCUGCCCGGCUCCGCGGCCGAGGGCUCCCGGCUCCCCGCGCGCCCCGAGCCGGUCUCCAAA